GAUGAACGCUGGCGGCGUGCCUAAUACAUGCAAGUCGAGCGAACGGACGAGAAGCUUGCUUCUCUGAUGUUAGCGGCGGACGGGUGAGUAACACGUGGAUAACCUACCUAUAAGACUGGGAUAACUUCGGGAAACCGGAGCUAAUACCGGAUAAUAUUUUGAACCGCAUGGUUCAAAAGUGAAAGACGGUCUUGCUGUCACUUAUAGAUGGAUCCGCGCUGCAUUAGCUAGUUGGUAAGGUAACGGCUUACCAAGGCAACGAUGCAUAGCCGACCUGAGAGGGUGAUCGGCCACCCUGGAACUGAGACACCGUCCAGACUCCUACGGGAGGCAGCAGUAGGGAAUCUUCCGCAAUGGGCGGAAGCCUGACGGAGCAACGCAGCGUGAGUGAUGAAGGUCUUCGGAUCGUAAAACUCUGUUAUUAGGGAAGAACAUAUGUGUAAGUAACUGUGCACAUCUUGACGGUACCUAAUCAGAAAGCCACGGCUAACUACGUG
rnacentral:rRNA from 1 species